CACAGUGUUGAGCGCCGAGCGGUUGUAGCCAUGUGCUGAUACUUUGGGGUCUGAGUGCUAGUUAUUCAAAUAUACUUUUCGCCGCGAGAAGCUUAAUAUUUAGGUCAGUGGAACUCAUUUCUUAGAGUUUGCUGUUGACCUUGAAACGAUUCCCAGAUUUCCUGUGAGCGCGUAUCGAGGACUAAAAAGCUGAAACGUGAUCGGAGCCGAGCAGGAGUCCGUUUUUGUGGUCAUCGUUUGUUAGCGGUUGAGAUCUCAACGCGAGACAAGGGAUAUUCAGUAUCCUCGCCGUUUUUGUCUUUAUUUUCGGGGACACUUAUGGAAUAUGCGAGAGGAAAUCGACACUCACGUGUUCUGAUUUCACGGAUGUACUCAUCUUGAGAGUUUACAGCGAGCAGCCCGCGUAACCGGCAACUACAUCGAUUGACACGCGACGGACGCGAGUGGCCAAGUGUUCUCUUGUGACUGUGAGGAAGAUGAAAUAUUUUCUCCAGGAUAUUCUCUGUGUCUACUCCACCGUCACUUUGUGCCUUCUCUACCAGAUCUCAGCAAUCGCUCACGGAUACUCUCCGAGGGACAACAAGGAGGAUCGCGGAAUAAUGGCACCUCGCAUGGACUACGAAGAAUGGACUCCGAUCGGCCGCGGCGACCCCUUGAAAAACGACCCCACGUACGAUUACGUGCCCCCCGUCUUGGACAAAGUCCACUACUGGAUCAAUCCAGCCUCGCGCACCUCUGAAUCCCCCCUCGCCUCUGAGUCGCAAAUCGUGGCCUUGGGCGCCCCCGCAACUAAGAAACCCACCCCCACGAUGAAACCCCUCAAACCAUCCGAAAUCAAACGCUACCACACGGAGAGCAAACCCCACUACCAAGGCUACGGACCUUACAUCUCCGGCUCGAAACAUCCGAAUAGGGGCCGUCCCCAGUACAUUCCUUUGGCCACUUACUCCACCUACAAGUACCCCCGCCCACCUCUAACCAUGCUUGUCCCGCCCCCGCCCUCCCAACCGGUCACCUACCCGCCCACCACCGAAGAGGAGCUCAAUCAGAUAACGACGGAUUUCCAAGACAAAAGCACCGAUAAACCGCAACAGUCCACCACAAUCAACGGGCCGACAUCGUGGAAGACGUCAUACUCGCCCGAAUCAACGCAAGCGCACACAAUCGCGUUCCUCGACACCAGCACGAUUAACAACGACCCAACGAAGAACAAGCCGGUUUCCACUUCGAUUGAUGUGGAUACAACGCUGGGUCAAACCACAUCCUCCUUCAGCCCGGCGGCAACCCAAACCUGGUCCUCGACGAGGCAAACGACAGUCGAACAGACGUUCGUCACCAACCCGUUGACGACCGAGGAACAAACCUCCAGACAACCCUCUUCCGUGUCCACAACCGAACUGUCCUCGAGUCAAACCACGAGUAGGCAACCUUCGUCUCAGUCUUCGGGACACACCACAGUAUACAGACAGCCAUCCUCGGCGUCUACCACGCUUUUACCACCGGGCAGACAACCCUUAAGCAACCUCUGACGAUGUCCACUAUGGGUUACUCCACCGGUCAGACAUCCUCGAUGCCAGGUCCACAAACGACGAAGCUGUCUUCGUCGUCUUUGUUCGACCUCUUGCUCAAGCGAGACUCGCCCCCGCCAACUACAUCCCCCGCGACAUUCCCCCUGCCCCAGACGCAGGCCGCUUCCAUGCCGUUCCUACCCCCCUUCAGAACACAAGAAGCGCCGAAAGCACCCGCUUACCUCAUCAUCCAGGGCCACUCCAAGGUGAAGAAAUACGGCGCGACUAAGCUGGACAAGAUAUCCGGGAUCCCGCUCCAAGAUAGCAAUGAAAUCACGAGCCAGCAGGAUAGCGACGCGAACGACAUACUCAGGAGAAAGACGAGAGACGUAAGUUUCGAGGAUUAUUUGCCGAUAGACGGGAGUUACUUCAAGUCGACUUUUGAGGACUAUUACAGUGAUCUGGGAGAAGAGGCCUCAGGUCUAAAUGCCAUUCCAACUCGGUGACUCGAGUAGAGUUGAAAAUGUGUUGAAUGCUCGAAGAUACCUUACAUUAAAAUACAUCUAAAAGAAGGAAACAAAACUUAUAACAUACACUCUGCCUACCAUCUUUGUUUCAUUUGCUUAAAAUUUACGGUUUUUUUAAAUGUUUCUUUUCUCAAACUCAAAAGUCUAUUACUCCCAAAGAACUUAAUACUUAGGUUCCAUCGAAAUUUUGAAUGUGUUUUCUUGCAGAGCGGGAGGAGCGUCUCAGAUCCGCGAGUGCGGACAGCAAAGUGUCACCACUACAUUUUACUAUCUUUAGUUUUUGCAAAUAAUUAAAAAGAAAAAGAAUAUUAGGGAGCGUAUUGAAAGAAAAUAAUGUUGUAUUUUCUGACAGCGAUUAAAUUUAAUUGAAAGGAAAAAAUUGAAUCUCCCGGACACCUUUUUUCAAUAUUUGUACGUGAAAACAAGUCGAUAAAGAGCAACGCUGAAGUAUUGCAGUAGCGCGUCUGCGGAAAGAGAAACCGAAUCUACAUCGAAUUUCAAGAACGCACUAAGUAGAUUAUUCAAUGAAGGCACGUUAAUAUGAGUGCUGGUUGAAGAACCCUCUUUAUUUUAGCUUUGCUCAAGCAGCCAGCAGUUGCAUAUUUAUAACUUUGAAAUAGAUUCUAUGCACUUAUUAGAAAUGCCAUUUAGUAACUUAUUAGAAGUGUCAUUCGGUAGAAUUUCAAAUGAAUUGAUAUUUAGAGUCCAUCCGGUAUUAACCAAAUUUAAGGAAGAGUAGUGACAUUCAAAUUUAAUCACGUUGAGAAGCUUACACAUUUUUUGGUAGCUUUGCUGUCUAGACUGAAAUGCAAGAGUAGGUCGCUGGCCUCAAAGCAACAUACGUAUACAUUCGGAAACUUGCAUUCAAAAUUAGGUACGCCAGAUAUGGUUGGCACAGUUGUUUCUAUUUUUAAAAAAUAAUCCAUAGUUCUAACGCUUUAAAAUUAAAAGUACAAUUUUCCCCGCAAAUUUACCACUUAAAUUCCUUCAGAGAGAUGUAGGUAUCGAAUAUUAAAGCUACUGCUCAUAAGACUUAUUACUCCGACUCUGCCAUAGACUGAUUUUAUCAGAAUUGCUCAACAAUGAAAAGCUCUUACAAAAUAAUAUUUCAUGUAGUAAUGUAAAUAUUGUAAAGUUACCAAAAAUUAGAUAGUUCUAUAUUGUAAAGUGAGAAUUGAAAUCUUUAGCUGUAAGAGGCGCCUCUUUUCAUUUUAUUUGUAAUCAAUUUCAAUUGAAGAGAUCGGGUGAAAAGUUAUUACUUUCGGGAAUAAAUCCUACCAAUUACUUUCAGAAAUAACUAGUCUCUGCUAUGCAUCGUUUAUUGUGCUAGUGCACUAAAUGUGCUCCUCAAAAUAGUGCUUUUCAGUUUUAAAAAUCCAUCCUCACAAGCUCUUUACAAGCGUGGUUUCUAGUAGAAUUCAAUCAAUAUCCAAAGAUUUUUUGAUAUUUGUUUUUUCAUGUUUAUCAAAAUGACUGUAUAUAGUUUUUAUAUUUUGUAUUGUUUUUACACAUUAUUGAUUAAAUCACAUGUAAAAAAACUAAGAUAGAUCUUUUUAGCAUUCAUUAUUCUCAGUAUCUUCGUGAAUGGUUUAAUGGUUCAUAAUGGGAUAAACACGUUUAAAGAAUUUCAAAGUUGGAAAUUUUCUCUUCUUAUAUGGUGCGUCAAUACAGAAGAAUCAAAGCAGGACGUUUUAUCAGAAUAUAUCUUUUAACAUUUGAAGAAAAAUAAGCUCAUUUUGUAAAAAUCGAUCAAUUUCAGCUCGUGCGUUCGUGCUAUAGCGACAGCUAGUCAAAAAGUUUUAGCACUUAGAAUAAAAAAAACAAAAACGUAACGUUGACGACUUCAAUCUGGAAGUGCAUGUGACUACAUUGAAGCUUUAAUUCCGUUUUAGGGAAUGCCACCACUAAGUUGCCAAAAAAGGGAAAAAUAAGAUUUCGACUUCAAUUACUGCAGUUUUCUGCGUGUUGAAUGCUUGGGAAUUGAAAAGUUUUCAAAUAUAUUUUCAAUGAUUCCGCAUGGAGCGUAUUAAAUGCGCAUUAUUUGACUAGAUAACUAUUCGAGCUCUCCAGUAUGUUUAUUGCCUAUGCGCCAUGAUUGAAGGCGAAUCUCAAGUGGGCAAUGUCUGCCAAUGGUUUACUCAUUGUCUAUUAUCCCUAUCAAAUUUUAUGAAGCGGAGUAAUGUACAUGCGUUUUGAUUGAUAACUAUUAAAGCCUCCUAGUGGGUGAAUUGCCUAUGGCGGGAAAAUAAAUGCGAAUCUCAAUCGGAUGAUAUCUAUCGAUAGGUUUGCGCAAUGUCUAUUGUUUUUACCUAAGUUCAUGGAAGCGAGCAAGAAUGCGUUUUUUUCGGAUGGAUAAACUAUUCGUGCUCUUGCUCUUCCCAAUAUGUUUGUUGCCUAACCGAUCGAAAUGAAGGCGGACAUCGACCUGUGCCAUUCUCAGACCAUGGUCUUGGGUAAGCAUAAACAAUAAUAUGGACGUAUUUCUACCAAACAGACCUAUGUGGAGGUGAGAAAUAUGGGGUAUGCUCGUUAGUUCUCUUUGCGUAAUAGUGAAUGAGAAUAAUAAAGCGCCAGCGACGUCAGCGGCAAUGAUCAAGACCCACCGCGAAAAGGAGAUCCUCGUCGGGGCGCUUUAACUCAUGAGCCCUGUCCACAACGCUCUUGUCCCAUGCCCGCGGCUCAUAUAUCCCGCAUUCAGUUGGCACAUAGGUCUGUUUGGUAGAAUGUAAAAUCCCGCUUUUCCAAUUCUUCAAAAGGAAUCACGCCCACUUUUACAUUGCUUCUUAUGCAGAUUUCUAGCGCACACCCCAUAUUUCUCACUUCCUCAUAGGUCUGUUUGGUAGAAAUACGUCCAUAUAUACCUCACGUCAAAAUAAUCGCACCCAUGAAGAUUGACAUACGCGCUUCAUAUUCUGGGAUUUUCAUACGUGGGCCUCUAUCAAUUUAAUCCUGGGAUUUUCGGAGAGGCCACGAAGCAACAGAUGACUGUAGUAAACCUUUGGUAGUACUACUCAUGCCGCACAGUGGAUGAUCGAGUCAAUUGAGAGGUCGGACAUGAAAUUUUGGACUAGAACUGCAAAUUUGGACGUUUAUUUCGUCUUAUUUUAAAUUUUAAGGGGUGCCUCUAGAAGUAAAUUGCAAGAUGAAACCAAUGGAACCACUUUAAAAACCUCAAAAUGUUGCAUAAUCGGAGUUAUGAGAUUAAAAAGUUUCCAAAUUUUGUUCGACCUCACCUAUUGACUCGAUCCACUGUGUGCUGUCGCUCUUCUGACGUAAGGGCGUACCUCGAUUUCCAUAUGAGCCCCGGAAAGCAUAGAGUUAUACGGCGAACAGAGCUCAUGUAGAAAUAGAGAUAAGCCUUUACGUCAGAAGGACGAUGAUGUUACGGAAGAGAGCGGUUACUACAAAAGUUUUGUUUUGAAAAAUAGUCCAGGCUUUUUGAAAGAAAUUCUGGUAUUUAUAAACAUGGCAAUAAUCAUCCAAAAAGGUCUUAAAAUUGUUUCAAAUAGUUGAACAUCGACUAAGUUCAUCUCUGAUGGUUGAAGAAUAAGGGUCAUACUUUUUUCAUGUUAGGAAUACAAUAGUAUUGGCUAUUUUCAACAUGCUUGCCUAGUUAUAUUUGGACCAACAUCAAGCUAAUUGGACCGCGUUUAACAGAAAGGAACCAAGCCACGUCAGCCAUUGCCAAAUGUAACUGGGCAAUUUGAUGUUUUACGCGAGAAUGUUUGUGCAGAUUCCUUUGAAAGUUUUAAGGAAUUUGCCUCUUACCAUGGAGAAAAUUCACUGAAAUUUUCACGAAAAUUCACACAACCGUUUUCGUGUAAAAAAUGAAAUUGCCCAAUUAAAUUUGGCAAUAGCUGAUGUGGCUUGGUUCCUUCCUGUUUAACGCGGUCCAAUUAUGGUUAGAAAGUGGCAGAGAAGGGUACCAUUUUCUUAAGGACAGCA
rnacentral:lncRNA from 1 species